UCAAUAAGUAAUUUAUUCAAGGUAGGAAC
rnacentral:piRNA from 1 species